rnacentral:misc_RNA from 1 species
UACAAGGGAUAGCCUCCUGUGGAUCUAUGUAGCUCAUGUAAGGGUAUAUCUACAUGAAAAGUGCACAUAGACAGCAUGGCAUUGACAGCAAGAUUUCCGAAUUAUAAGACUCAUCAACCAAGAAAGAAUUCACAAAGUUUUAAAUGGCUUCGAGAACACUACCACUGUAGAUCACACUAACUACUGAACUCCUUAGUUUUCAUACUAUCCUUAGUUUUCAUACUAAAGCAGGUUUUACAUUUAUUAAGAGAGGAGCAUUUCUAAUACAUAUUGAA